rnacentral:RNase_P_RNA from 1 species
GACAGACAAUCGCGGCUGCAUGUGCCGAAAGGCCGCAGACGAGGAAAGUCCGGGCUUCACAGGGCAGGAUGCCGGAUAACGUCCGGUGGAGGCGACUCCAAGGCCAGUGCAACAGAAAUAAACCGCCGGGGCAGAUGUAUGCCGGUACAGAAGAAAUUAUCAGUUUUCCCUGUGCCGGCAUACAUCUGCCCCGGUAAGGGUGGAAAGGCAGUGUAAGAGACUACCGCCUUUCUGGCAACAGAAAGGGCACAUGUAAACCCCAUCCGAAGCAAGACCGAACAGAAGCAAUGUGGCGGCCCGUCACGCUUCAGGUUGGUUGCUCGAGCACAGCGGCGACGCUGUGCCUAGACAGAUGAUUGUCCAACGACAUAACCCGGCUUAUCGUCUUGCUUA